rnacentral:rRNA from 1 species
UGGGGAAUAUUGGACAAUGGGCGCAAGCCUGAUCCAGCAAUGCCGCGUGUGUGAAGAAGGUUUUCGGAUUGUAAAGCACUUUCGGCGGGGACGAUGAUGACGGUACCCGCAGAAGAAGCCCCGGCUAACUUCGUGCCAGCAGCCGCGGUAAUACGAAGGGGGCUAGCGUUGCUCGGAAUGACUGGGCGUAAAGGGCGCGUAGGCGGAUGCGACAGUCAGAUGUGAAAUUCCUGGGCUUAACCUGGGGGCUGCAUUUGAGACGUUGUGUCUAGAGUGAGGAAGAGGGUCGUGGAAUUCCCAGUGUAGAGGUGAAAUUCGUAGAUAUUGGGAAGAACACCGGUGGCGAAGGCGGCGACCUGGUCCUUGACUGACGCUGAGGCGCGAAAGCGUGGGGAGCAAACAGGAUUAGAUACCCUGGUAGUCCACGCUGUAAACGAUGUGCGCUGGAUGUUGGGUGGCCUAGCCAUUCAGUGUCGUAGCUAACGCGCUAAGCGCACCGCC